rnacentral:rRNA from 1 species
CCCUUAGAUGUUCUGGGCCGCACGCGCGCUACACUGUUCGACGCAGCGAGUCUUAACCUUGACCGAAAGGUUUGGGUAAUCUUCAGCAAAGUCGAACGUGAUGGGGAUCGAUCAUUGCAAUUAUUGAUCGUGAACGAGGAAUUCCUAGUAAGUGCAAGUCAUCAGCUUGCGCUGAUUACGUCCCUGCCCUUUGUACACACCGCCCGUCGCUGCAACUGAUUGGGUGACCUGGUGAACAUCUUGGACCGGCUUGCCCAUUUUUGGACGAGUUGGAAAAGGACGUAAAUCAGGUACAUCUAGAAAUUGCAAAAGUCGUAACA